GGCUUUUGUAACCGCCUUGAUGAACAGAAUGUGGCAGAAGUGAGGAUAAUUCUGAGUGAAGUUAGACAUACAGCUUCUCCUGGCUUCUCUGGGGAGAACUGCUCUGUGGGGCAUGGGCUUCCAUGUACAAAUCAAGAUACUCUGAAAAGGACCACUUGGAGAGUCUAAAUAAGUAGACAGAUACCUAAGGAGCCCCAGUUGUUCCUAUCCCCAGCUUCUUGAGUCUUCCCGGCCCAGGUGCCAGAGCUUUCAAGAUGACCCCAGCCUCAUCCACCACGUGACUACAGCCUCAUGAGAGACCUCAACCCAGCUCAGCCAACCUGCUUCCUAAUUUCCGAUGCCUUGAAACCAUAAAAGACAACAACUGCUUGUUCUCGUUUCAAGCCUUUACAAUUUAGGGUGAUUUGCUAUGCAACAUUAAAUAACAAGACCACAGCCUGAGUAAAUGAAGCUGCUGAAGGGAGCCCAAGAGAAACUCGGAAUUACCUCCAAAUUUCUCUGAAGAAAGGAUUCGAGGUAGGGUAUUUUCCCAAGAACACUCCCUAAUUCGAUCCCUACAUGCUAAUCUCCAUUUCACAGUCUGCUUUCCAGAAGACCCACUUGCAAUGGUGGCAGGAAUGGUCCAAGAAAGCACGUGCCCAUGUGAGAUUCUGCAGCUGCCAACCACCGGCCAGCUAGCAGUGAGAACCCAGAUAACCAAGGUGUCCUUGAAAAAGUGACAGUUAAUGUGACACCUGAAGGGGCAUUUAGUCAGACCAAGGAGUAUUGGUAGGAAGAAGAAGAGAAGUAUUCCAAGCAAGAACCAACUGUGGCCAAGUCCCAAAGGGAUAAAGAGUGAGUUACAAUCACGGAAUUAAAAGAUAUUUCUUGCGACUGUGUGUCGGGUUAUUAGAGGGAGA
rnacentral:lncRNA from 1 species